CGUAGGGGGCAAGCGUUGUCCGGAAUCAUUGGGCGUAAAGCGCGCGUAGGCGGCCCGGUAAGUCCGCUCUGAAAGUCCAGGGCUCAACCCUGGAAAGCGGGUGGAUACUGCCGGGCUCGAAUCCGGAAGAGGCGAGUGGAAUUCCUGGUGUAGCGGUGGAAUGCGCAGAUAUCAGGAGGAACACCAAUAGCGAAGGCAGCUCGCUGGGACGGUAUUGACGCUAAGGCGCGAAAGCGUGGGGAGCAAACAGGAUUAGAUACCCUGGUAGUCCACGCCGUAAACGAUGGGCACUAGGUGUGGGAGGUGUCGACUCCUCCCGUGCCGACGCUAACGCAUUAAGUGCCCCGCCUGGGGAGUACGGCCGCAAGGCUA
rnacentral:rRNA from 1 species